CCUACGGGUGACAGCAGUGGGGGAUAUUGCACAAUGGGGGGAACCCUGAUGCAGCGACGCCGCGUGGGUGAAGGAGCGUUUCGGCGCGUAAAGCCCUAUCGGCAGGGAAGAAGAUGACGGUACCUGACCAAGAAGCCCCGGCUAACUACGUGCCAGCAGCCGCGGUAAUACGUAGGGGGCAAGCGUUAUCCGGAUUUACUGGGUGGAAAGGGGGCGCAGACGGCAAUGCAAGCCAGGAGUGAAAGCCCGGGGCCCAACCCCGGGACUGCUCUUGGAACUGCAUGGAUGGAGUACAGGAGGGGCAGGCGGAAUUCCUGGUGUAGCGGUGAAAUGCGUAGAUAUUAGGAGGAACACCGGUGGCGAAGGCGGCUCACUGGACUGCAACUGACACUGAGGCUCGAAAGUGUGGGUAUCAAACAGGAGUAGAUACCCCUGUAGUC
rnacentral:rRNA from 1 species